UUACUUUGGAUUUACUCACAAUUUACACCAGCUUUACUCGCUGUUUACUCCGGGCUUACACACGCUUUACUUUGGGUUUUACUCACAGUUUUCUCUAGCUUUACUCACACUUUACAACAGGUUUUACUCACAUUCUACACCAGGGUUUACACAUAUUUUACUCCAUGUUUCCUCACAGUUUUCUCCGAGUUUUGUUCACUCUUUACUCCAGGUUUACUCACUCUUUACUUCAUGGUUACGCAUCCUUUACUCUGGGUUUACUCACACUUUACUCCGUGUUUCCUAACAAUGUACACCAUUUGUUUUACUCACAACUUUACUUUGUGUUUACUCAGAAAUUACUACAGCUUUACUCACUAUUUACUCCGGGAUUACACACCCUUUACUUUGGGUCUAGUCACACUUUUCUCUAGUUUUACUCACCCUUUACUCCAGGUUUACUCAACCUUUACUCUGGUUUUACACACACUUUAUUCCAGGUUUACACACA
ensembl:lncRNA